UUCCGGUUGAUCCCGCCGGAGGCCACUGCUAUGGGGGUCCGACUAAGCCAUGCGAGUCAUGGGGCGCGCUCUGCGCGCACCGGCGGACGGCUCAGUAACACGUCGGUAACCUACCCUCGGGAGGGGGAUAACCCCGGGAAACUGGGGCUAAUCCCCCAUAGGCCUGAGGUACUGGAAGGUCCUCAGGCCGAAAGGGGCUUUCGCCCGCCCGAGGAUGGGCCGGCGGCCGAUUAGGUAGUUGGUGGGGUAACGGCCCACCAAGCCGAAGAUCGGUACGGGCCAUGAGAGUGGGAGCCCGGAGAUGGACACUGAGACACGGGUCCAGGCCCUACGGGGCGCAGCAGGCGCGAAACCUCCGCAAUGCGGGAAACCGCGACGGGGGGACCCCCAGUGCCGUGGCAUCGCCACGGCUUUUCCGGAGUGUAAAGAGCUCCGGGAAUAAGGGCUGGGCAAGGCCGGUGGCAGCCGCCGCGGUAAUACCGGCGGCCCGAGUGGUGGCCGCUAUUAUUGGGCCUAAAGCGUCCGUAGCCGGGCCCGUAAGUCCCUGGCGAAAUCCCACGGCUCAACCGUGGGGCUUGCUGGGGAUACUGCGGGCCUUGGGACCGGGAGAGGCCGGGGGUACUCCUGGGGUAGGGGUGAAAUCCUAUAAUCCCAGGAGGACCGCCAGUGGCGAAGGCGCCCGGCUGGAACGGGUCCGACGGUGAGGGACGAAGGCCAGGGGAGCGAACCGGAUUAGAUACCCGGGUAGUCCUGGCUGUAAAGGAUGCGGGCUAGGUGUCGGGCGAGCUUCGAGCUCGCCCGGUGCCGAAGGGAAGCCGUUAAGCCCGCCGCCUGGGGAGUACGGCCGCAAGGCUGAAACUUAAAGGAAUUGGCGGGGGAGCACUACAAGGGGUGGAGCGUGCGGUUUAAUUGGAAUCAACGCCGGA
rnacentral:rRNA from 1 species